rnacentral:rRNA from 1 species
UACGGGGGGGGCAAGCGUUGUUCGGAAUUACUGGGCGUAAAGGGCUCGUAGGUGGCCAACUAAGUCGGACGUGAAAUCCCUCGGCUUAACCGGGGAACUGCGUCCGAUACUGGUUGGCUUGAGUUUGGGAGAGGGAUGCGGAAUUCCAGGUGUAGCGGUGAAAUGCGCAGAUAUCAGGAGGAACACCGGUGGCGAAGGCGGGUCUCUGGGCCGAUACUGACGCUGAGGAGCGAAAGCGUGGGGAGCGAACAGG